rnacentral:rRNA from 1 species
GGUGAACCUGCGGAGGGAUCAUUACACAAAUAUGAAGGCGGGCUGGAACCUCUCGGGGUUACAGCCUUGCUGAAUUAUUCACCCUUGUCUUUUGCGUACUUCUUGUUUCCUUGGUGGGUUCGCCCACCACUAGGACAAACAUAAACCUUUUGUAAUUGCAAUCAGCGUCAGUAACAAAUUAAUAAUUACAACUUUCAACAACGGAUCUCUUGGUUCUGGCAUCGAUGAAGAACGCAGCGAAAUGCGAUAAGUAGUGUGAAUUGCAGAAUUCAGUGAAUCAUCGAAUCUUUGAACGCACAUUGCGCCCUUUGGUAUUCCAAAGGGCAUGCCUGUUCGAGCGUCAUUUGUACCCUCAAGCUUUGCUUGGUGUUGGGCGUCUUGUCUCUAGCUUUGCUGGAGACUCGCCUUAAAGUAAUUGGCAGCCGGCCUACUGGUUUCGGAGCGCAGCACAAGUCGCACUCUCUAUCAGCAAAGGUCUAGCAUCCAUUAAGCCUUUUUUUCAACUUUUGACCUCGGAUCAGGUAGGGAUACCCGCUGAACUUAAGCAUAUCAAUAAGCGGAGGA